rnacentral:ncRNA from 1 species
CAUUUCUGUGUAUUGUGAAGAUUAUGCUGGAUAUUUCACUGUUAUUCUGUUAUUUCUAGCAUUUCAUUUCUGUUCUGCAUAUUUUAUAUAUCUGGUAUCUUGCAGAUGCCCUUAGAUGUUCUGGGCCGCACGCGUGCUACACUGAUGCAGUCGACGAGUUUUUCUCUCUGGUUCGAGAGGAUCAGGAAAUUAUCUCAUCGUGAUGGGGAUAGACCAUUGAAAUUAGUGGUCUUAAAUGAGGAAUUCCUAGUAAGCUUGUUUCAUCAUCUCAUGUUGACUACGUCCAUGCCCUUUGUACACACCACCCAUCGCUCCUACCGAUUGAAUGAUCCGGUGAAGAGUUUGGAUCGCGUCAACGAGGGUGGUUCAUCGCCAACGAUGUUGUGAGAAGCUCACUGAACCUUAUCAUUUAGAGGAAGGAUAAGUCGUAACAAGGUUACCAUAGGUGAACCUUCCAAAUAUUUAUGU